UAUGUUGCUCCAGUGUG
rnacentral:misc_RNA from 1 species